GACGAACGCUGGCGGCGUGCUUAACACAUGCAAGUCGAACGGAAAGGCCCUGCUUUUGUGGGGUGCUCGAGUGGCGAACGGGUGAGUAACACGUGAGUAACCUGCCCUUGACUUUGGGAUAACUUCAGGAAACUGGGGCUAAUACCGGAUAGGAGCUCCUGCUGCAUGGUGGGGGUUGGAAAGUUUCGGCGGUUGGGGAUGGACUCGCGGCUUAUCAGCUUGUUGGUGGGGUAGUGGCUUACCAAGGCUUUGACGGGUAGCCGGCCUGAGAGGGUGACCGGCCACAUUGGGACUGAGAUACGGCCCAGACUCCUACGGGAGGCAGCAGUGGGGAGUAUUGCACAAUGGGCGGAAGCCUGAUGCAGCAACGCCGCGUGCGGGAUGACGGCCUUCGGGUUGUAAACCGCAUUCGCCUGUGACGAAGCGUGAGUGACGGUAAUGGGUAAAGAAGCACCGGCUAACUACGUG
rnacentral:rRNA from 1 species